rnacentral:piRNA from 1 species
UGUAAGUGUCCCUGAAUCCCUGAAUUGAUG